rnacentral:rRNA from 1 species
AGGUANGCUUAGGGAGGAGCUUGCGUCACAUUAGUUAGUUGGUGGGGUAAAGGCCUACCAAGACUAUGAUGUGUAGCCGGGCUGAGAGGUUGAACGGCCACAUUGGGACUGAGACACGGCCCAAACUCCUACGGGAGGCAGCAGUAGGGAAUUUUCGGCAAUGGAGGAAACUCUGACCGAGCAACGCCGCGUGAACGAUGAAGUAUUUCGGUACGUAAAGUUCUUUUAUUAGGGAAGAAUAAAUGAUGGAAAAAUCAUUCUGACGGUACCUAAUGAAUAAGCCCCGGCUAACUAUGUGCCAGCAGCCGCGGUAAUACAUAGGGGGCAAGCGUUAUCCGGAAUUAUUGGGCGUAAAGGGUGCGUAGGCGGUUAAAUAAGUUUAUGGUCUAAGUGCAAUGCUCAACAUUGUGAUGCUAUAAAAACUGUUUAGCUAGAGUAAGAUAGAGGCAAGUGGAAUUCCAUGUGUAGUGGUAAAAUGCGUAAAUAUAUGGAGGAACACCAGUAGCGAAGGCGGCUUGCUGGGUCUUUACUGACGCUGAGGCACGAAAGCGUGGGGAGCAAACAGGAUUAGAUACCCUGGUAGUCCACGCCGUAAACGAUGAGUACUAAACGUUGGGUAAAACCAGUGUUGAAGUUAACACAUUAAGUACUCCGCCUGAGUAGUACGUACGCAAGUAUGAAACUUAAAGGAAUUGACGGGACUCCGCACAAGCGGUGGAUCAUGUUGUUUAAUUCGAANGUACCCGAAAAACCUCACCAGGUCUUGACAUGCUUCUGCAAAACUGUAGAAACACAGUGGAGGUUAUCAGUUGCACAGGUGGUGCAUGGUUGUCGUCAGCUCGUGUCGUGAGAUGUUGGGUUAAGUCCCGCAACGAGCGCAACCCUUAUUGUUAGUUACCAGCACGUAAUGGNGGGGACUUUAGC